UACGGAGGAUGCAAGCGUUAUCCGGAAUGAUUGGGCGUAAAGCGUCCGCAGGUGGCUGUGUAAGUCUGCUGUUAAAGAGUGAGGCUCAACCUCAUAAAGGCAGUGGAAACUACAUGGCUAGAGUGCGUUCGGGGCAGAGGGAAUUGCCGGUGUAGUGGUGAAAUGCGUAGAGAUCGGCAGGAACACCCAGGGGGAAACCAGUCGACUGGGCAUCUACUGACGCUGAGGUGCGAGAGCGUGGGGAGCGAACCGG
rnacentral:rRNA from 1 species